AUUGAACGCUGGCGGCAUGCUUUACACAUGCAAGUCGAACGGCAGCGCGGGCUUCGGCCUGGCGGCGAGUGGCGAACGGGUGAGUAAUGCAUCGGAACGUGCCCAGUAGUGGGGGAUAGCCCGGCGAAAGCCGGAUUAAUACCGCAUACGACCUGAGGGUGAAAGCGGGGGUCCGACAGGCCUCGCGCUAUUGGAGCGGCCGAUGUCGGAUUAGCUAGUUGGUGGGGUAAAGGCUUACCAAGGCGACGAUCCGUAGCUGGUCUGAGAGGACGACCAGCCACACUGGGACUGAGACACGGCCCAGACUCCUACGGGAGGCAGCAGUGGGGAAUUUUGGACAAUGGGGGCAACCCUGAUCCAGCCAUGCCGCGUGCGGGAAGAAGGCCUUCGGGUUGUAAACCGCUUUUGUUCGGGAAGAAAUCCUCUGGGCUAAUACCCCGGGGGGAUGACGGUACCGGAAGAAUAAGCACCGGCUAACUACGUG
rnacentral:rRNA from 1 species